AAUCAGUUGUCCGUCGCUAAAGUCGUAGUCAACCACACCGACAGACACCACACGCAUAAGCUGAAAGAAAAAAAUUGUCUGACAAGAGCAAUUACAAUUACACAUUGCAGAGCACAUGGAAAGGACACUGUGGUCGCCGCGCCAGUACAUAUUCUUGGUGUUGUUGUUGCGGUUAGGGUAGAGCGAACACCAAUAACAUCAGCAACAGCAAAAGCAACAACAUAGCACUGAAACCUGGAAUCCACUGACUCCAUCGAUGGUGGCCAACGAAUAUGAACAUGUAAUUACGUUUUAAGUGCUAACUGGUAAAAUAUUUACGUAAAACUAUGUAAACUUAAUUGAAAUUUAAUUGAAAAUGUCAUAAAUGUGUGAACAAAACGGAA